UAUUUGUAUUAUUUGGUGGCAACGCGACAGAAUGAACAUAUUUGUGGAAGGUGCUAUAUGAAUAGACGCUAGCAGUGGCUUCUGGGGCUGAAUGAGUUUUCAUGUGCAGAGACGGACGGCAGCCUGACAAUGAGCCUCUUGUGGCUUCAGCAGUUCUUCAGAGGACAGAGGGACUAUUUACUCUGGGUCGCUUGUCUGAUUGACUGGCACACUGUUUCACAGAGUGCACACUCCGCCAACACUUGGAGAAAUGUUGUUUUUUCCCCUAUAGGUUAAGUUUCUUGACAGAAAAUUGAAACAAAGCGACUAAACCUGAUUGUCAGAAAACUAUGCAAAAAAACAUUUUAAAGAUUUGCACAACCAGUAAAAGAUUUGAGGAUUGACAGCUGCUCACUCGACCCAAAAGACAUUUUACGUGUCAAGGGUCUAAACUUUUACAGACUUGUCAACCCAUUUUGGUAUUUUUUUUUUAAGUAUAAAUAUUUCAGCUGUGGGAUUUUUAAGCCAUCUUACCUUUACAGGUUCUCCAAGCGCUGAUGUUCAGGACCUUCUUCCAACCCCUCCACUGGGCAACAAUUCAGCCUUUGAAUGCAAAAUCUGCAAGAGAACAAACUGACAGAGGAGCAGCUGAUGGAGCAACAAAUGGAGGGUUUGAUUAGUAUGAAUAAAUUAUAGGAAUAUUGAGUAAUGGUGCAUUCAUACCAAACGCGUUUUGAGCAUCAGGCUCAUCUGAUUUAUAGUCAAAGUUUAUGAGGAGCGUCGGACAUGACCAACGCUCAAAACGGAUCAAAUCACGCCACACUAGACGCUUGAAACGCACGGACCCGCCCUCGACAUGCCUCCAUGUAGACCUUGAAUGUAAACCAGACGCGCAUGACGCUCAAAAUGCGCUUGGUGUGAACGCAGCAUGAAUGUUGGGAAAAGUGUCUUCAGUCAGAGGCUUCUUCAAAUUCGCUGUAAUACAGACUGCUACAAAAGAUCUUUCCUGCCAACAGCCGUCAAUAACUUGAAGAAUUUCAAUUAAUAAGUUACAUUUAAUUUCUCUUUUGGAUCGAUAAAGUAUUCUUGAACUGAAUGUAUGCAAGAAUAAACGGAUGAAUAGAUAGAAGGAAAAAACUGUUCAAUAAUCGCUGGAUGAAUGGAUGAUUAUUGAAUAAAUACCUAUAUGGAUGAAAAGAUAAAUGAUCAGAGUGGAUGGAUUGAAAAACAGUGAAUGGACAGAACCACAAGUUUUCCAUUAAACAACAUAAAAAGUUCAAUAAAGCAUAAAGUCUGCAUUUCAUUUCCCUGCACUUUCUGACAGUUUAAAUAAAAUGAAAAAAAAAAAGUGAGAUUGGCCUCAUUGUGGAAGACAAAAAGGUUAAUAAAAUAUCAAAAUGACACAUUAUGAAAGCUGCUUCACAUUGAGGUCUUCAUUUAAAAUGUUUUAAUUGCAUGCCAUUCAGUUGAAGUUUGACAAGUUUUACACAAAACCAGUUCAUGUUUACAGAGUUUCAACCAGGAACAAUAUGAUGUUUCGCGAUACCAAAACAUGAACAGACUGUCAGAGGCAGAAUUGCUAUGAACUCAAACGCGUUUGUCUAAAACUUUAAAUAUUUGUCAAUACUGUGUGAAAACUCAGUCUGCACAAACUGCUGCCAUUUACAUGGAUUGUUCAUUUUCAAUAAAAAGCCGGACCGAUUCGUACACAAGCUGAGAAGCAGAAACCUGAAGAUCUUUAUAUUUACAGACAUAAACUUGUCAAACCAAAGUUGUACACACAUUAUUACUGCUGUUAGAAUUACCAGGUAAGAGCCGAGUGCUUAAUAGUUUAAUAAAAAUAAAACUAAUCUUUGGAUCAGAGUCUUUGUGUAUUAAAAUAAUUAUUUAAAAUAUAUAUUUUUUUCAUAAUUACAAAAGACCAAACUUUUUGAUUUGUUUUUUUUUGGCAAAUGUGCAACUCUUGGAGGAUUUCUCAUCUGGAUUAAAGAUGUCUUCCUGCUGCUCACGUCCAAA